rnacentral:rRNA from 1 species
AACGAACGCUGGCGGCAUGCCUAACACAUGCAAGUCGAACGAAACCGUCGGGCCUAUGUGCGCACGGCGACUGAACACGGGGGAACCUGCCCGUGGGUUCCGAAUAACUCCCUGAGGGGUGUGCUAAGACCGGAUAAGGUCUUCCGGCCAAAGAUUUAUCGCCGUUGGGUGGGCGCGCGUUGGAUUAGCUGGUUGGUAGGGUAAAAGCCGACCAAGGCGACGUUCCUGAGCUGGUCUGAGAGGAUGCUAAGCCACACUGGGACUGAGACACGGCCCAGACUCGUACGGGAGGGAGCAGUGGGGAAUAUUGGAGAAUGGGGGAAAGUGUGAUACAGCAACGUGGGGUGAGUCAUGCAGGCGGUAGGGUUGUAAAGCUCUUUUACACGGGACGAUAAUGACGGUACCGGGAGAAUAAGCACCGGCUAACUACGUG